GAUGAACGCUGGCGGCGUGCCUAAUACAUGCAAGUCGAGCGAACAGACGAGGAGCUUGCUCCUCUGACGUUAGCGGCGGACGGGUGAGUAACACGUGGAUAACCUACCUAUAAGACUGGGAUAACUUCGGGAAACCGGAGCUAAUACCGGAUAAUAUAUUGAACCGCAUGGUUCAAUAGUGAAAGACGGUUUUGCUGUCACUUAUAGAUGGAUCCGCGCCGCAUUAGCUAGUUGGUAAGGUAACGGCUUACCAAGGCAACGAUGCGUAGACGACCUGAGAGAGUGAUCGGCCACACUGGAACUGAGACACGGUCCAGACUCCUACGGGAGGCAGCAGUAGGGAAUCUUCCGCAAUGGGCGAAAGCUUGACGGAGCAACGCCGCGUGAGUGAUGAAGGUCUUCGGAUCGUAAAACUCUGUUAUUAGGGAAGAACAAAUGUGUAAGUAACUAUGCACGUCUUGACGGUACCUAAUCAGAAAGCCACGGCUAACUACGUG
rnacentral:rRNA from 1 species